UGGGGAAUCUUAGACAAUGGGCGCAAGCCUGAUCUAGCGAUGCCGCGUGAGUGAUGAAGGCCCUAGGGUCGUAAAGCUCUUUCGCCAGAGAUGAUAAUGACAGUAUCUGGUAAAGAAACCCCGGCUAACUCCGUGCCAGCAGCCGCGGUAAUACGGAGGGGGUUAGCGUUGUUCGGAAUUACUGGGCGUAAAGCGCGCGUAGGCGGACUAUUAAGUCGAGGGUGAAAUCCCGGGGCUCAACCCCGGAACUGCCUUCGAUACUGGUAGUCUAGAGUUCGAGAGAGGUGAGUGGAAUUCCGAGUGUAGAGGUGAAAUUCGUAGAUAUUCGGAGGAACACCAGUGGCGAAGGCGGCUCACUGGCUCGAUACUGACGCUGAGGUGCGAAAGUGUGGGGAGCAAACAGGAUUAGAUACCCGCGUAGUCC
rnacentral:rRNA from 1 species